GUCGGGAUAGCUCAGCUGGUAGAGCAGAGGACUGAAAAUCC
rnacentral:tRNA from 29 species